CCUACGGGGCGCAGCAGUAGGGAAUAUUGCUCAAUGGGGGAAACCCCGAAGCAGCAACGCCGCGUGGAGGAUGAAGGUUUUCGGAUUGUAACCUCCUUUUGUUAGAGAAGAUAAUGACGGUAUCUAACGAAUAAGCACCGGCUAACUCCGUACCAGCAGCCGCGGUCAUACGGAGGGUGCAAGCGUUACUCGGAAUCACUGGGCGUAAAGAGCGCGUAGGCGGGAUAGCAAGUCAGAUGUGAAAUCCUAUGGCUUAACCAUAGAACUGCAUUUGAAACUGUUAUUCUAGAGUAUGGGAGAGGUAGGUGGAAUGCUUGGUGUAGGGGUAAAAUCCGUAGAGAUCAAGAGGAAUACUCAUUGCGAAGGCGACCUGCUAGAACAUAACUGACGCUGAUGCGCGAAAGCGUGGGGAGCAAACAGGAUUAGAUACCCGGGUAGUC
rnacentral:rRNA from 1 species